ACAUCUCAACUUCGUUCCAUUUAUUUCUCAUUUGAAACCUUCACAACUCUUAUUUCACAACUCAAAUUUUUUUUUUGUUUUUUUUUGUUUUUCACUAUUUUUCUUCCAAGCAAGCAUUCAUUUUUAUUUUCUCUAUUUUUGUUUUUUAUGCUUGCUCGGUUUUUCAAGAGUUGUGGCACUUACCGAUUCUCAUUUUCGUUCUCCCCAACUUAUUUCUUACUCACCCUAAGUGAAUGCUCUUGACUUUUUUAUGGCAAAAGAACAAUUAUCAAAAUUUUCCGGGUUUCAAAAAAAAGAUUUUUGAAAUCUCGCUUUAUUUCAAGCUAAGAUUCAACUGUUUAAGCUCAAAGGGGUUAACGAAUACUCUCUCUGCUCACAGGUAAGUUGUAUUUG
rnacentral:lncRNA from 1 species